AGAGGGUGCAAGCGUUAAUCGGAAUUACUGGGCGUAAAGGGCGCGUAGGUGGCUAGUCAAGUCAGAUGUGAAAUCCCCGGGCUUAACCUGGGAACUGCAUCUGAAACUGGUUAGCUAGAGUACAGUAGAGGGAAGUGGAAUUUCAGGUGUAGCGGUGAAAUGCGUAGAUAUCUGAAGGAACACCAGUGGCGAAGGCGACUUCCUGGACUGAUACUGACACUGAGGCGCGAAAGCGUGGGGGAGCAAACAGGAUUAGAUACCCUGGUAGUCCACGCCGUAAACGAUGAGAACUAGCUGUUGGGGGGAGAUUCCCCCCUCUUAGUGGCGAAGCUAACGCAAUAAGUUCUCCGCCUGGGAGUACGGCCGCAAGGUUA
rnacentral:rRNA from 1 species